rnacentral:rRNA from 1 species
AUUGAACGCUGGCGGCAGGCCUAACACAUGCACGUCGAACGAGUGGCGGACGGGUGAGUAAUGUCUGGGAAAAUGCCUGAUGGAGGGGGAUAACUACUGGAAACGGUAGCUAAUACCGCAUACCAUCAGAUGUGCCCAGAUGGGAUUAGCUUGUUGGUGGGGGAACGACGCACCAAGGCGACGAUCCCUAGCUGGUCUGAGAGGAUGACCAGCCACACGGGAACUGACACACGGUCCCGACUCCUACGGGAGGCAGGAGUGGGGAAGAUUGCACAAUGGGCGCAAGCCUGAUGCAGCCAUGCCGCGUGUAUGAAGAAGGCCUGCGUGUGGUAAAGUACUUUCAGCGGGGAGGCGUUACCCGCAGAAGAAGCACCGGCUAACUCCGUGCCAGCAGCCGCGGUAAUUC